GUGGAUACAAUUUGAAUGUUUGUUUACAAUAACUUCUGGGUAGAAAAGUCCUGCGUCCCGUACAUACAAUUUAACAGUGCUGAACAAACAGGGACGAG